rnacentral:rRNA from 1 species
AGUCGUACGAGAGUUUUUAACUCAAGUGGCGGACGGGUGAGUAACACGUAAGAAUUUGCCUUUAGGAGGGGGACAACAACUGGAAACGGUUGCUAAUACCCUAUGCUUUCGAGUGAAAUGGAUUUUUCCGCCUAGAGAGAAGCUUGCGGCUGAUUAGCUUGUUGGUGAGGUAAUGGCUCACCAAGGCGACGAUCAGUAUCUGGUUUGAGAGGACGAUCAGACACACUGGAACUGAGACACGGUCCAGACUCCUACGGGAGGCAGCAGUGGGGAAUUUUCCGCAAUGGACGAAAGCCUGACGGAGCAAUACCGCGUGAGGGAUGACGGCCUAUGGGUUGUAUACCUCUUUUUUCAGGGAGGAAUAAAAUGACGUGUACCUGAAGAAUAAGCAUCGGCUAACUCCGUGCCAGCAGCCGCGGUAAGACGGAGAUGCAAGUGUUAUCCGGAAUCACUGGGCGUAAAGCGUCUGUAGGUGGUCCAAUAAGUCAACUGUUAAAUCUUGA